CAAUAACGUAUAUUAAAGUUGUUGCGGUAAAAAAGCUCGUAGUUGGAUUUCUACCGAAGAUAGCCGGUCGGGUCUUCGACCUUGUAUCUGGUUUUGUCUUUGGUAUCCUCAUAGGGAACGUUUCUGCGCUUUAUUGCGUGGUGCGGUAUCUAUGACUUUUACUUUGAGGAAAUUAGAGUGUUCACGGCAGGCAAACGCCUUGAAUAUAUUAGCAUGGAAUAAUAACAUAGGAUCUUCGUCCUAUUUUGUUGGUUUCUAGGGCUAAGAUAAUGAUUAAUAGGGAUAAUUGGGGGCAUCUGUAUCAACGCGUCAGAGGUGGAAUUCUUGGAUUGCGUUGCGACAAACUACUGCGAAAGCAUUUGCCAAGGAUGUUUUCAUUGA
rnacentral:rRNA from 1 species